rnacentral:rRNA from 1 species
CUCCGGAUUAGUGGCGAACGGGUGAGUAAUACGUGAGCAAUGUGCCCUUGACUCUGGGAUAAGCGCUGGAAACGGCGUCUAAUACCGGAUACGACCCUCGGAGGCAUCUCCUGAUGGUGGAAAGAACUUCGGUCAAGGAUCAGCUCACGGCCUAUCAGCUAGUUGGUGAGGUAACGGCUCACCAAGGCGACGACGGGUAGCCGGCCUGAGAGGGUGACCGGCCACACUGGGACUGAGACACGGCCCAGACUCCUACGGGAGGCAGCAGUGGGGAAUAUUGCACAAUGGGCGCAAGCCUGAUGCAGCAACGCCGCGUGAGGGACGAAGGCCUUCGGGUUGUAAACCUCUUUUAGCAGGGAAGAAGCGAAAGUGACGGUACCUGCAGAAAAAGCACCGGCUAACUACGUGCCAGCAGCCGCGGUAAUACGUAGGGUGCAAGCGUUGUCCGGAAUUAUUGGGCGUAAAGAGCUCGUAGGCGGUUUGUCGCGUCUGCUGUGAAAACCCGAGGCUCAACCUCGGGCUUGCAGUGGGUACGGGCAGACUAGAGUGCGGUAGGGGAGAUUGGAAUUCCUGGUGUAGCGGUGGAAUGCGCAGAUAUCAGGAGGAACACCGAUGGCGAAGGCAGAUCUCUGGGCCGUAACUGACGCUGAGGAGCGAAAGCAUGGGGAGCAAACAGGCUUAGAUACCCUGGUAGUCCAUGCCGUAAACGUUGGGAACUAGAUGUGGGGACCAUUCCACGGUCUCCGUGUCGUAGCUAACGCAUUAAGUUCCCCGCCUGGGGAGUACGGCCGCAAGGCUAAAUCUCAAAGGAAUUGACGGGGGCCCGCACAAGCGGCGGAGCAUGCGGAUUAAUUCGAUGCAACGCGAAGAACCUUACCAAGGCUUGACAUAUACCGGAAACGGCCAGAGAUGGUCGCCCCGCAAGGUCGGUAUACAGGUGGUGCAUGGUUGUCGUCAGCUCGUGUCGUGAGAUGUUGGGUUAAGUCCCGCAACGAGCGCAACCCUCGUCCUAUGUUGCCAGCACGUAAUGGUGGGAACUCAUGGGAUACUGCCGGGGUCAACUCGGAGGAAGGUGGGGAUGAGGUCAAAUCAUCAUGCCCCUUAUGUCUUGGGCUUCACGCAUGCUACAAUGGCCGGUACAAUGGGCUGCGAUACCGCAAGGUGGAGCGAAUCCCAAAAAGCCGGUCUCAGUUCGGAUUGAGGUCUGCAACUCGACCUCAUGAAGUCGGAGUCGCUAGUAAUCGCAGAUCAGCAACGCUGC